rnacentral:rRNA from 1 species
UACCAGCACCCCGAGUGGUCGGGACGAUUAUUGGGCCUAAAGCAUCCGUAGCCGGUUCUACAAGUCUUCCGUUAAAUCCACCUGCUUAACAGAUGGGCUGCGGAGGAUACUAUAGAGCUAGGAGGCGGGAGAGGCAAGCGGUACUUAGUGGGUAGGGGUAAAAUCCGUUGAUCCAUUGAAGACCACCAGUGGCGAAGGCGGCUUGCCAGAACGCACUCGACGCUGAGGCGCGAAAGCUAGGGGAGCAAACGGG